CGUUCGUGCGCUAAAGAAAAAUGACAAAAAUUUUCUUUUGUUUGCUAGCCACAACAGUUUUAAUACUGAGAGAUUCUGACCUUAGAGUUUGAGCUCAAUAAUCAAACAAACAACAAAAUAAAUCAUUUUAAAAUCAUAAAUAAUACUAUCAUAUAUAUACUUCUAGAUUGAAACCGGCACAAUGCAAAUACCUAAGAAACUCAAGGGCGACCAUCCAAAAGAAUCGUCAUCUUUCUGUUUUGCCUGAAACCUGUCCUCCUGAAGCUUGGAGAUCAUGGAGCUUGUGGUAAUAGAAGCCUGACAACCAGGAGAAGAAUGUCUUGAAGGGAAGAGUUGGGGCCCCACCGAAUAGGUAGGCAUGAGUUGGCAUACUGGCCAAUCGACCUUGGGAAAUCAAGAGAGAAAAAUGGCUCUUCGACUUGCAAAUGCUGGUGAUUUCGACGAGAUAUCAAAGCUGUCUAAGAGGAUGGAAAACAGAUCGAUUCGACUUCGUCCCCAUACAAGUUCAAGAAAUGGCUCGCGGAACCCAAUAGAA